rnacentral:misc_RNA from 1 species
CAGCAUUACUUUCCUGUGCAGAAGCACCCAAAUUUUAGUAACAAUGAGUACCAUUUCAACUCAAUAUAUCUCGUGGUAUGGAUCCAAGAUUUAUUAGAAUGCGAAAUCCAGCUUUUCUGAGAUCACGUCCCAUAACCAUGUGAAUGCAUUAAAGCCUGUACAUCAGAUCUAAUGACACUUUAAGGAUCUAUCUUGAUUUUAGCUGGUAAGUUUCUAUGUCCUUUUGAAGCCCAAUUUAUUAUUCCCAAAUAAUUUUCUGAUGCAUCACAACCCAGUACAUAGACAAUCACCAAAUUCAUCCUAUACUGUUGAAACAAAAUUCCACUCUCUACCAGGACCAGAAAUAUUUAUUAGCAAAUUUCGGUACUCAUGCAACAUUUUGUUUUUUCAAAUUGAUCAAUAUAACCAACUUCACUCCUUUCUAGCACACUGAAGUAUAACUUCACAGAUAAUCAAAUUAAAUUCUUACAACAAAGAUGAUUUCGUAUUGGAUUUUAAAGCGAUCAAAACUGAGAUGUGAUCCAAUAAUGCUAUAAUUCAACACAGAAGAAUGCCCACCACUAUUCAACAUAUAAAUCCAACAAAAAGUGUAAGAACUUGCAAAAUCAAAGUUAUACACACCUUGUCUGAUGAAGGCUUAG